rnacentral:lncRNA from 1 species
GGGAGAGCUGGAGAGAGGGAAACAGGGUGAAGAGGCAGGAAUCUGGCUCGCAUUAAGCUGGGAGGUUCCAACCAUUGAUUCGCUCUGGAAUUAUGGCUUAAAAAAAUUGCAAGACAUGGUUUAUUCAUGAGGGUUCUUUUUUUUUCUUAAGUAGCCACCCAAAGUUACACUUUGGUUCACCAAGACGAAGACUCAUCCUUCCUCUCUCUAUGGAUCUUUCAGAUGAAGAAAUUAAGGCUCAGGAGGGAGGAAAAAAAUAAAAGAAAGAAUUGUCCAAGGUCACCAAGGCAUCUGGACUCCCAUAUGUUGAGCUACUUCUGCUUGUGGGGCAGCUGCAAUACAUGAAUUCUUCACUACGUUCACGAGUGCCCUGAAUUCCAUCCACA